UACGUAGGGUGCGAGCGUUGUCCGGAAUUAUUGGGCGUAAAGGGCUCGUAGGCGGUUUGUCGCGUCGGGAGUGAAAACCCAGGGCUUAACUCUGGGCUUGCUUUCGAUACGGGCAGACUAGAGGUAUGCAGGGGAGAACGGAAUUCCUGGUGUAGCGGUGAAAUGCGCAGAUAUCAGGAGGAACACCGGUGGCGAAGGCGGUUCUCUGGGCAUGACCUGACGCUGAGGAGCGAAAGUGUGGGGAGCGAACAGG
rnacentral:rRNA from 1 species